rnacentral:misc_RNA from 1 species
AAUCGGGGCGAGGAUGAUCAUCGCCAGCAACACGAUCGGGUUGGAUCCGCCGUCACGGUCGUCACGGCUGCCACCCACGAACAUCGCCAUGCGCGCCGCGAACAUGAUCGUGGCGGCAAUCGUCGCGGCGAUCGAGCUGAUCAGGAUGUCGCGGUUCUUGACGUGCGCGAGUUCGUGGGCCAUGACCCCUUCGAGCUCGUCCUGGCUCAGCACCCGCAUGAUCCCCUGCGUGGCCGCGACCGCGGCAUGCGACGGAUUCCGGCCGGUCGCGAAGGCGUUGGGCGAUUCGUCAGGGAUCACGUACACCUUGGGCAUCGGCAGGCUGGCGCGCUGCGACAGCCGCGUGACCAUCUGAUGCAGCGGAUGCUCGGGCCCGACCUCCUGCG